UACGUAGGGGGCAAGCGUUGUCCGGAAUUAUUGGGCGUAAAGAGCGCGUAGGCGGUCCGGUAAGUCCGCUGUGAAAGUCGGGGGCUCAACCCUCGAAUGCCGGUGGAUACUGUCGGGCUAGAGUGCGGAAGAGGCGAGUGGAAUUCCUGGUGUAGCGGUGAAAUGCGCAGAUAUCAGGAGGAACACCAAUUGCGAAGGCAGCUCGCUGGGACGUAACUGACGCUGAGACGCGAAAGCGUGGGGAGCAAACAGG
rnacentral:rRNA from 1 species